GCUUACACAUGCAGUCGUGCGAGAAAGUAUCUUCGGAUAUGAGUAGAGCGGCGGACGGGUGAGUAACGCGUAGGAAUCUACCUAGUAGAAGGGGAUAGCCCGGGGAAACUCGGAUUAAUACCGUAUACCUCCUUAGGGAGAAAGAGGGCCUCUCUUGAUGCUCUCGCUAUUAGAUGAGCCUGCGUAAGAUUAGCUUGUUGGUGAGGUAAUGGCUCACCAAGGCUACGAUCUUUAGCUGGUCUGAGAGGACGAUCAGCCACAUUGGGACUGAGACACGGCCCAGACUCCUACGGGAGGCAGCAGUGGGGAAUAUUGGACAAUGGGCGCAAGCCUGAUCCAGCCAUACCGCGUGUGUGAAGAAGGCUCUAGGGUUGUAAAGCACUUUAAGCAGAGAGAAAAAGUUAUAAGUUAAUACCUUAUAACCGUGAUGUUACCUGCAGAAUAAGCACCGGCUAAUUCCGUGCCAGCAACCGCGGUAAUACGGAAGGUGCAAGCGUUAAUCGGAAUUACUGGGCGUAAAGCGCGCGUAGGUGGUUUGUUAAGUUGGAUGUGAAAGCCCUGGGCUCAACCUAGGAACUGCAUCCAAAACUAACUCACUAGAGUACGAUAGAGGGAGGUAGAAUUCAUAGUGUAGCGGUGGAAUGCGUAGAUAUUAUGAAGAAUACCAGUGGCGAAGGCGGCCUCCUGGAUCUGUACUGACACUGAGGUGCGAAAGCGUGGGUAGCGAACAGGAUUAGAUACCCUGGUAGUCCACGCCGUAAACGAUGACAACUAGCUGUUGGGAGACAAUGUCUUUCAGUGGCGCAGCUAACGUUUUAAGUUGUCCGCCUGGGGAGUACGGCCG
rnacentral:rRNA from 1 species